UCCUGCUGUUUCUACUGCUGCUGCUCCUGCUGCUGCUCCUGCUGCUUCUCCUGCUGUUUCUACUGCUCUUGUUAUUCUUGCCAUCAUUGCUGCUUCUGCUGCCGUUGGAUUAUUGUGCUAUCUAAAGAAGAAACGUCAAGACCAGAAAGAAGCUGUACUCUUCUCAGCAAACUCUGGAACAAAUUCUCCAACCGUCCAGAUCCUCCUUCCACCUCUCCAAGACAACUGAGAUCCUCACCUGAUUCCUGAGUCUAAUCGCCUCAUUGAAGAAAACACUGGAGAUUCACCUGCUUAAAGCUGCAGAGAAAACCACAGACCGUCGCUGUGCUGCACUGCAGUCCUCGCUCCACCGCUAGUGAA